UACGUAGGGUGCAAGCGUUAAUCGGAAUUACUGGGCGUAAAGCGUGCGCAGGCGGCUUUGCAAGACAGAUGUGAAAUCCCCGGGCUUAACCUGGGAACUGCAUUUGUGACUGCAUGGCUGGAGUGCGGCAGAGGGGGAUGGAAUUCCGCGUGUAGCAGUGAAAUGCGUAGGUAUGCGGAGGAACACCGAUGGCGAAGGCAGUCCCCUGGGCCUGCACUGACGCUCAUGCACGAAAGCGUGGGGAGCAAACAGG
rnacentral:rRNA from 1 species